UUCGGCCGUCAUUAGGGAUUUAGGCGUUUAGGGAUUUUUUCUUCUUUGUUUCUCUAAGAAGUGAGAACCAAUUGAGAACUUCUUCAACAUUUAGGGAUUCGGCCAUUGUUUUGUCGGCAGCUUAAUUUUUCUUUCCUUUGCUUUGCUAGUUGCUCUGAGAGUCUGAAGCAAGCAAUUAGAAGUUCGAAGUUCAAGCUUCGAAGUGGAACUCCAGAAUUCUUCCACGAAGCUGCCGCUGCCAUUGAAGGCUUGAAGCUUUGUUGCCGUUAAGCCACCGAAGCCAGAUGAAACUCUAAAUUUGGAUGAUUUGGACACUGGAGAUGAAGAUGAGACCAAUAAUGAAGAGAAUGUGGAAAGAAAUGUUCUUAAUGUGGGCUGUGAUGUAAAUGAACUUGGUGGUACUGAAUUUGGCAGAAGUUGGGAACCAUGGGCAUGAAUAAUAGAUGGAGUGAACUACUCAAGUGAUAAUUGUGGUGUUGUUUAUGUUCAUGACUUUAUGUUUGGUUGUAUUGAAUUUGUCGUUUAUGACUUAUGUUUCAUGGUUUGAUACUUAUAUUUAUGUGUGUGAAAUGAAUUAUGAACUAUGAACAGGUUAUAACUUGUUGAGA